CAAAGAGGGGGACCUUCGGGCCUCUUGCCAUCAGAUGUGCCCAGAUGGGAUUAGCUAGUAGGUGAGGUAAUGGCUCACCUAGGCGACGAUCCCUAGCUGGUCUGAGAGGAUGACCAGCCACACUGGAACUGAGACACGGUCCAGACUCCUACGGGAGGCAGCAGUGGGGAAUAUUGCACAAUGGGCGCAAGCCUGAUGCAGCCAUGCCGCGUGUAUGAAGAAGGCCUUCGGGUUGUAAAGUACUUUCAGCGAGGAGGAAGGCAUUGUGGUUAAUAACCACAGUGAUUGACGUUACUCGCAGAAGAAGCACCGGCUAACUCCGUGCCAGCAGCCGCGGUAAUACGGAGGGUGCAAGCGUUAAUCGGAAUUACUGGGCGUAAAGCGCACGCAGGCGGUCUGUCAAGUCGGAUGUGAAAUCCCCGGGCUCAACCUGGGAACUGCAUUCGAAACUGGCAGGCUAGAGUCUUGUAGAGGGGGGUAGAAUUCCAGGUGUAGCGGUGAAAUGCGUAGAGAUCUGGAGGAAUACCGGUGGCGAAGGCGGCCCCC
rnacentral:rRNA from 1 species